UGGGGAAUAUUGGACAAUGGGCGGAAGCCUGAUCCAGCCAUGCCGCGUGUGUGAAGAAGGCCUUUUGGUUGUAAAGCACUUUAAGCGAGGAGGAGGCUACUUGGAUUAAUACUCUAGGAUAGUGGACGUUACUCGCAGAAUAAGCACUGGCUAACUCUGUGCCAGCAGCCGCGGUAAUACAGAGGGUGCGAGCGUUAAUCGGAUUUACUGGGCGUAAAGCGUGCGUAGGCGGCUUCUUAAGUCGGAUGUGAAAUCCCUGAGCUUAACUUAGGAAUUGCAUUCGAUACUGGGAAGCUAGAGUAUGGGAGAGGAUGGUAGAAUUCCAGGUGUAGCGGUGAAAUGCGUAGAGAUCUGGAGGAAUACCGAUGGCGAAGGCAGCCAUCUGGCCUAAUACUGACGCUGAGGUACGAAAGCAUGGGGAGCAAACAGG
rnacentral:rRNA from 1 species